AAGUCGUAACAAGGUUUCCGUAGGUGAACCUGCGGAAGGAUCAUUAACAAAUCAUGAAAGCAAGUUUUGCUUUCAAUAUAGAGUUCUCUCAAAUUAGACAAAUUUUGUCUAUGCGAGGUUCUCUAUUAUAUCAACCUGUUGUAUUGUAAGACAAAAUAUAGAGAUAAAUUUAUAAAACAACUUUUAACAAUGGAUCUCUUGGCUCUU
rnacentral:misc_RNA from 1 species